AACUUUUGACAAUGGAUCACUUGGCUCUCGCAUCGGUGAAGAACGCAGCGAAAUGCGAUAAGUAAUGUGAAUUGCAGAAUUCAGUGAAUCAUCGAAUCUUUGAACGCACCUUGCGCUCCCUGGUAUGCCGGGGAGCACGCCUGUUCGAGUGGCGCGAAAUUUCGCAAGCUUGGAUGGCCUGUUUGUCUGUCCUUUGUCUUGGUUGUUGGGAUUUGCCGUGUCCUUUGUUGGGACGGCCGGCCUUAAAAGCACUAGCUGAUCCUCGUGUGGCACUGCUUCUACUCCGCGUGAUAACUGUCUUAUCGCUGAGGACAUCUUUUGGGAUGGCCAGUUCUCAUUUGGGUUGCUUCCAAACUUGGUUUUGCAGAUUCUUCAAUCUGUGUUCCACUUUUCAGCUUUGACCUCGAAUCAGGUGGGACUACCCGCUGAACUUAAGCAUAUCAAUAAGCGGAGGCU
rnacentral:misc_RNA from 1 species